GAUGAACGCUGGCGGCGUGCUUAACACAUGCAAGUCGAACGAAGCAUUUUCGAUCGAUUUUUUCGGAAUGAAGUUGCUUAUGACUGAGUGGCGGACGGGUGAGUAACGCGUGGGUAACCUGCCUCUUAUUGGGGGAUAGCAGCUGGACACAGCUGGUAAUACCCCAUAAGCGCACAAUGUUGCAUGACAUGUUGUUAAAAACUCCGGUGGUAUAAGAUGGACUCGCGUCUGAUUAGCUAGUUGGGGAGAUAACAGCCCACCAAGGUGACGAGCAGUAGCCGAGCAGAGAGGGAGACCGGCAACAGUGGGAGAGAGACACGGCACAGACUCAUGCGGGAGGGAGCAGUGGGGAAUAAGGCAAAAUGGAGGAGACUAUGAGGCAGAGAGGGCGUGUAAGUGAAGAAGUAAUUCGUUAUGGAAAGCUCUAUCAGCAGGGAAGAUAGUGACGGUACCUGACGAAGAAGCGCCGGCUAAAUACGUG
rnacentral:rRNA from 1 species